rnacentral:sRNA from 1 species
GGGAGGGCUGUGGGGAUGUGUGUGUGUGUUGUGUGUCCCUGGGUGUGGAUGUGGGAGGGCUGUGGGCGUGUGUGUGUGUUGUGUGUCUGUGUGUGUGGAUGUGGAGGGCUGUGGGGAUGUGUGUGUGUGUUGUGUGUCCCUGUGUGUGGAUGUGGGAGGGCUGUGGGCGUGUCUGUGUGUUGUGUGUCCCUGUGCAUGGAUGUGGGAGGUUUGGGGCAUGCGCGUGCAUGUUGUGUGUGCCUGUGGUGUGUGUGGGUGCCUGGGCACAUGAACAAGCACCUGUGAGAGAACUGGCCCACCUGUGACCCUGUCGGCUGGUCCCCCAGGGGAGCUGUCUUCCCAGCUUCCGGAAAGACUCUCCUUGGUGAUCGGCUCCAUCCUGGGGGCUUUGGCCUUCCUCCUGCUGGCAGCCAUCACCGUGCUGGCGGUCGUCUUCCAGCGGUGAGUCCCCACCCCUGCCCAACUCUGCCCAGCACCAUUAACUCCACAGCCAAACCUCAAGUCCUGCCAAGUCUGGAGCCCCCUGCAGAAACCUCACACUGGUGCUCCUCCCGUCAGCCAGCCCCUGCCCUGGGCCCCACGUGGAGGUGGGCAGGAGGGCCAGGCUGGCGUCCCCCCUCCACAGACCGACUAAAGAGCAGUCUGGAGGGUGACAAGGGGGCAGCAAGGGGGUGGAAAUGGGAGCGUAAUCCCCAGCCACCGUUUUGUUCCUCAGGAAGCGGCGUGGGACUGGCUACACGGAGCAGCUGCAGCAAUACAGCAGCCCAGGUGGGGAUGAGGAGAGGAAAUGGGUGGGGCUGGGGAACACAUGGGUGGGGCACAUGGCAGGCAAGGCUGGAUCCCCCCAAGAUUGGGGGAGCUCCUUGGCACAACCUUCUGGAGGUAAGUGGGCAUGUCUGGGGUGCGCGGGCAGCCCUGCCUUUCACAACAUGCUCAUAACAUACUCCACACCCCUCCAGGACUCGGGGUGAAGUAUUACAUCGACCCCUCCACCUACGAGGACCCCUGUCAGGCCAUCCGAGAACUUGCCCGGGAAGUCGAUCCUGCUUAUAUCAAGAUUGAGGAGGUCAUUGGGACAGGCUCUUUUGGAGAAGUGCGCCGGGGCCGCCUGCAGCCACGGGGACGGAGGGAGCAGACUGUGGCCAUCCAGGCCCUGUGGGCCGGGGGCGCCGAAAGCCUGCAGAUGACCUUCCUGGGCCGGGCCGCAGUGCUGGGUCAGUUCCAGCACCCCAACAUCCUGCGGCUGGAGGGCGUGGUCACCAAGAGCCGACCCCUCAUGGUGCUGACGGAGUUCAUGGAGCUUGGCCCCCUGGACAGCUUCCUCAGGCAGCGGGAGGGCCAGUUCAGCAGCCUGCAGCUGGUGGCCAUGCAGCGGGGAGUGGCUGCUGCCAUGCAGUACCUGUCCAGCUUUGCCUUCGUCCAUCGCUCGCUGUCUGCCCACAGCGUGCUGGUGAAUAGCCACUUGGUGUGCAAGGUGGCCCGUCUUGGCCACAGUCCUCAGGGCCCAAGUUGUUUGCUUCGCUGGGCAGCCCCAGAGGUCAUUGCACAUGGAAAGCAUACAACAUCCAGUGAUGUCUGGAGCUUUGGGAUACUCAUGUGGGAAGUGAUGAGUUAUGGAGAACGGCCUUACUGGGACAUGAGUGAGCAGGAGGUACUAAAUGCAAUAGAGCAGGAGUUCCGGCUGCCCCCGCCUCCAGGCUGUCCUCCUGGAUUACAUCUACUUAUGUUGGACACUUGGCAGAAGGACCGUGCCCGGCGGCCUCAUUUUGACCAGCUGGUGGCUGCAUUUGACAAGAUGAUCCGCAAGCCAGAUACCCUGCAGGCUUGCGGGGACCCAGGGGAAAGGCCUUCGCAGGCCCUUCUGACCCCUGUGGCCCUGGACUUUCCUUGUCUGGACUCACCCCAGGCCUGGCUUUCAGCCAUUGGACUGGAGUGCUACCAGGACAACUUCUCCAAGUUUGGCCUCUGUACCUUCAGUGAUGUGGCUCAGCUCAGCCUAGAAGACCUGCCUGCCCUGGGCAUCACCCUGGCUGGCCACCAGAAGAAGCUGCUGCACCACAUCCAGCUCCUUCAGCAACACCUGAGGCAGCAGGGCUCAGUGGAGGUCUAAGAAUGACGAUACCCGUGACUCAGCCCUGGACACUGGUCCGAGAAGGGACAUGUGGGACGUGAGCCGGGCUCCAACAGCCUCUGUGAGAGAUGCCCCACACCAAACCCAACCCUCCCGAUGGCUGCACUCCCUGGUCCUCCGCCUCUCCACCAGCCCCCUCCUCAUUAAAGGGAAAGAAGGGAAUUUGCAA